GUCGAGCGAAUGGAUUAAGAGCUUGCUCUUAUGAAGUUAGCGGCGGACGGGUGAGUAACACGUGGGUAACCUGCCCAUAAGACUGGGAUAACUCCGGGAAACCGGGGCUAAUACCGGAUAACAUUUUGAACUGCAUGGUUCGAAAUUGAAAGGCGGCUUCGGCUGUCACUUAUGGAUGGACCCGCGUCGCAUUAGCUAGUUGGUGAGGUAACGGCUCACCAAGGCAACGAUGCGUAGCCGACCUGAGAGGGUGAUCGGCCACACUGGGACUGAGACACGGCCCAGACUCCUACGGGAGGCAGCAGUAGGGAAUCUUCCGCAAUGGACGAAAGUCUGACGGAGCAACGCCGCGUGAGUGAUGAAGGCUUUCGGGUCGUAAAACUCUGUUGUUAGGGAAGAACAAGUGCUAGUUGAAUAAGCUGGCACCUUGACGGUACCUAACCAGAAAGCCACGGCUAACUACGUGCCAGCAGCCGCGGUAACACGUAGGUGGCAAGCGUUAUCCGGAAUUAUUGGGCGUAAAGCGCGCGCAGGUGGUUUCUUAAGUCUGAUGUGAAAGCCCACGGCUCAACCGUGGAGGGUCAUUGGAAACUGGGAGACUUGAGUGCAGAAGAGGAAAGUGGAAUU
rnacentral:rRNA from 1 species